AACUGCCUCCCACGGCUAACGAGCCUCACCUGCCCGGGUUUGUUUAGAGUUUGCUCUCCUAGGUGAAUUGCCUACCACGGCUAACGAGCCUCACCUGCCCGGGUUUGUUUAGAGUUUGCUCUCCUAGGUGAAUUGCCUACCACGGCUAACGAGCCUCACCUGCCCGGGUUUGUUUAGAGUUUGCUCUCCUAGGUGAAUUGCCUACCACGGCUAACGACCUCCACCUGCCCGGGUUUAUUGUUCGGAGUUUGCUCUCCUAGGUGAAUUGCCUCCCACGGCUAACGACCUCCAC